GGGUGAGUGUGUGUGUGUGUGUGUGUUGUGUGUGUGUGUUGUGUGUGGGGUGAGUGUGUGUGUGUGUGUGUGUGUGUGUGUGUGUGGGGUGAGUGUGUGUGUGUGUGUGUGUGUGUUGUGUGUGUGUGUGUGUGUGUGUGCUCACAGUUAAACAUUGCCCCUGCUUUCACGGUGGAAUGAGAUCAGGAAACUGAAGGCCUGUGUGGACAAACGGCCAGUGGCAUCACAGCCACAGGAAGCGUCACUUCAGGGGCGGUCCACAUCAGUCUCCACGCGUGCUGAACUCCACCCACCAGUCGCCAGGCCGCACCACGGCAGUGACUCUGCCGGGACCCUCCACACUGCCAGCGCCCGCCCGCUUCUCCAGGUACAGGCUGAGAACGACGGGCUCGGCUCUGGCCUCAGAAUACGGGAGUGUGCGCUGGGAGAAACCGGCGCCAACCAGACUCACCGGGCAGCACUGGGGAUAUUCGGUGGUGCUCGGGGCUUAACGCUGAUCUGGAAUCCGGAACGAAAGGAAAACUGCAAUAAUCCAGCUCAUCACAGGAAGUGACAUAUUAACAUUCACUCCUUGCAUUUAAGACACCACUGAUCCCCUUCGAAAAACAACGCAGAUGGAAAAAAAAGAGUGUCCUUGCUUUUUUUAAAAGUAAAUUGCAUCACGCAAUUAAUCUCCCCGCAUUUAGGGGUGAAGUAAUUUAAAGGGGUGAGCAGUGGUUUACCUCGUUAGAAAAAUAAAUGUUGCUUUAAUUUCUUUUUUUUCCCCAAAGGGAGGAAAGCUGGAGCCAAUUCUGAAAUUAAUAAACAGCUGGAAACAAAACUGAGGAAGAUCCCUCCCUCUAUUGUCCCAUUAUUUUUCCUCAUGAGCCCAACACAUUGCACUGAGUUUGCAGUCAAGUGUAGAGCGCUCCAAGUUAUGAAGCAUUACAGUGAAAAACAACAUUUUAUAGAUAAAUAUUGCCCUACAUCCUACGCAAAACAGAUUUAAGAUUGAGAAUUGUACUUUAAGAAAGACAGAAGUAUUGUAAAGAUACAAAUAUAUAUAUAUAACUAUAUUGUUAUUACUACUGUUGCUGUAUAUGUUGCCAUGGUUCUUGAUAAUGUACUGUAUGUACAAGAUUGUAACUGUAUGUAAUGAUGUUUGUAUGUGUCUAGGACUUGUUUGUAACCGUACAGGGUUAUGAGUAGCUAUUAAGAAAUGUGCAUCAGCUGUGAUGUUUUUUUUAGUGGGUUUAUUAUUAUUAAUAAUAAUAAUAUUAUUUCUAAGAUGAGCAAUGUUCCUGUAUAGCACUUUUUUCUUUUUUACUGAUCUUUUCUGGCCUGGUUCCAUUGAACUGGAAUGUGGUCUCCCAGAUGUCUCUUGUAUGAACUCAAAAUGUACUGUAUGAUAAGCAA